GAUGAACGCUGGCGGCGUGCCUAAUACAUGCAAGUCGAGCGAACAGACGAGGAGCUUGCUCCUCUGACGUUAGCGGCGGACGUGUGAAUAACGCGUGGAUACCCUCCCUAUCAGAGUGGUAUAACUUCGGAAAAGCGGCGCUAAUACGGUAUGAUAUAUUGAACCGCGUGGUUCAAUAGUAAAAGUCGGUUUUGCUGUCACUUAUAGAUGGAUCCGCGCCGCAUUAGCUAGUUGGGAAGGUAACGGCUUACCAAGGCGACGAUGCGUAGCCGACCUGAGGGGGGGAUAGGCCACACUGGAACUGAGACAGGGACCAGACUACUACGGGAGGGAGCAGUAGGGAACCUGCCGCAAUAGGCGAAAGCCUGGCGGAGCAACGCCGCGUGAGUUACGAAGGUCUUCGGAGCGUAAAACUCUGUUAUGAGGGAAGAACAAAUGUGUAAGUAAAUAUGCACGGCGUGACGGUACCUAAUCAGAAAGCCACGGCUAACUACGUG
rnacentral:rRNA from 1 species